rnacentral:miRNA from 1 species
ACAGCACUGCCUGGUCAGA